UGCCCAGGAGUAUCGCGAGAGUUCACCUGCGAGCAGCGCGAUUUACAACGCGAUGCAGGUGCUUCUUAUGAAGUGUGAGAACCGGGAAGUUCUUGUGCAUGAAGCAAGACUUUAAGUUUAAAGUCACAGUGGAGCCACUGAGCAGUGAGACUAAGUAUACUCGUCAGGCUUACAUCUGAAGACCAAACAUCUGUGGUGAAGUUCAUCGCGGAGUGGUUAUGAAGAAGCUCGUGAAUAUGAUCCGUCAUACGGUUGUAUAACUCCGAAUUACUUUAGGCACUGAUAGAACUGUUCUGUAAUGACGGAAGAUCAGCACAGAAUUCACCAGACUUGUGUCGAUGGACCUGAGCAAGUUCUUUUAUGAGGGUCUUGACAAACACACCUCAAAGCUGCUGUAUUUGUACCCCUCGAGGCGCCAUGCAGACAUCGCAGAAAGGAGUGCCAUACUGGAGCGCCUGGAUAAAAAUGUGAGUAGGUUUAUUUCAAGUGUACUUGUUUUGUAAAUACUGUGGUCAUUUCCUUUCUUGCUAUUUCUCUUGUCCUGCAUAAUUUGAAUAUAAAACAUUUGUACUUUUGAGGCAUCAAAUCACAGGAAGAGGGUUGCAGUACUGCUGGGGCUGCCACUGUCCAUGCGGGAGAAUCCAUCUCAGUUCUUACAGAUCUGUGAGCACACAGAUUCUGAAGAAGAGUUAAUCAAGGGCGUGACUGUUGGAAUCAGUACAGUUGUGGAUGACGCGAUGGACCCUAUUCCGUGUGACUGCAGUGAUGUAGCCCUUGUAAUGGAAGAAGUUGUCGUUCUACGCAAUCUUGGUGAUGUACCAAAUGCAUUUGUCAACUUGAUGGGAUUGCUUUAUGCACGUAACAUAAACUACCCCACA